AAUGAACGUUGGCGGCGUGGAUUAGGCAUGCAAGUCGUGCGUAAAGAGUAGCAAUACUCGGAAGCGGCGUAAGGGAGAGUAAUACAUAGGUAUUUACCCUGGGGUCUGGGAUAGCGGCGGGAAACUGCCGGUAAUACCAGAUGAUAUCUACGGAUCAAAGGUGUGAUUCCGCCCUAGGAGAAGGCUGUGGCCUAUUAGCUAGUUGGCAGGGCAACGGCCUACCAAGGCAAAGAUGGAUAUGGGGCGUGAGAGCGUGCCCCCACUCACUGGGACUGAGACACUGCCCAGACACCUACGGGUGGCUGCAGUCGAGAAUCUUCGGCAAUGGGCGCAAGCCUGACCGAGCGACGCCGCGUGCGGGAUGAAGGCCUUCGGGUUGUAAACCGCUGUCGAAGGGGAGGAAAUUGUAGUGGGUUUACCCAUUAUAUUGACCGAUCCUUGGAGGAAGGGCCGGCUAAUCUCGUGCCAGCAGCCGCUGUAACAC
rnacentral:rRNA from 1 species